rnacentral:rRNA from 1 species
CGGAGCUAAUACCGGAUAAUAUUUUGAACCGCAUGGUUCAAAAGUGAAAGACGGUCUUGCUGUCACUUAUAGAUGGAUCCGCGCUGCAUUAGCUAGUUGGUAAGGUAACGGCUUACCAAGGCAACGAUGCAUAGCCGACCUGAGAGGGUGAUCGGCCACACUGGAACUGAGACACGGUCCAGACUCCUACGGGAGGCAGCAGUAGGGAAUCUUCCGCAAUGGGCGAAAGCCUGACGGAGCAACGCCGCGUGAGUGAUGAAGGUCUUCGGAUCGUAAAACUCUGUUAUUAGGGAAGAACAUAUGUGUAAGUAACUGUGCACAUCUUGACGGUACCUAAUCAGAAAGCCACGGCUAACUACGUGCCAGCAGCCGCGGUAAUACGUAGGUGGCAAGCGUUAUCCGGAAUUAUUGGGCGUAAAGCGCGCGUAGGCGGUUUUUUAAGUCUGAUGUGAAAGCCCACGGCUCAACCGUGGAGGGUCAUUGGAAACUGGAAAACUUGAGUGCAGAAGAGGAAAGUGGAAUUCCAUGUGUAGCGGUGAAAUGCGCAGAGAUAUGGAGGAACACCAGUGGCGAAGGCGACUUUCUGGUCUGUAACUGACGCUGAUGUGCGAAAGCGUGGGGAUCAAACAGGAUUAGAUACCCUGGUAGUCCACGCCGUAAACGAUGAGUGCUAAGUGUUAGGGGGUUUCCGCCCCUUAGUGCUGCAGCUAACGCAUUAAGCACUCCGCCUGGGGAGUACGACCGCAAGGUUGAAACUCAAAGGAAUUGACGGGGACCCGCACAAGCGGUGGAGCAUGUGGUUUAAUUCGAAGCAACGCGAAGAACCUUACCAAAUCUUGACAUCCUUUGACAACUCUAGAGAUAGAGCCUUCCCCUUCGGGGGACAAAGUGACAGGUGGUGCAUGGUUGUCGUCAGCUCGUGUCGUGAGAUGUUGGGUUAAGUCCCGCAACGAGCGCAACCCUUAAGCUUAGUUGCCAUCAUUAAGUUGGGCACUCUAAGUUGACUGCCGGUGACAAACCGGAGGAAGGUGGGGAUGACGUCAAAUCAUCAUGCCCCUUAUGAUUUGGGCUACACACGUGCUACAAUGGACAAUACAAAGGGCAGCGAAACCGCGAGGUCAAGCAAAUCCCAUAAAGUUGUUCUCAGUUCGGAUUGUAGUCUGCAACUCGACUACAUGAAGCUGGAAUCGCUAGUAAUCGUAGAUCAGCAUGCUACGGUGAAUACGUUCCCGGGUCUUGUACACACCGCCCGUCACACCACGAGAGUUUGUAACACCCGAAGCCGGUGGAGUAACCUUUUAGGAGCUAGCCGUCGAAGGUGGGACAAAUGAUUGGGGUGAAGUCGUAACAAGGUAGCCGUAUCGGAAGGUGCGGCUGGAUCACCUCCUUU